rnacentral:sRNA from 1 species
AUAAAGUUCCGGACAGCGGGCACAGUUUACGCAUGCCUGCAUGCAGGAGACUGUGCACAUUGGACGGGCUGACAGGAAUGAGCAGGCAGGACAAAAGCCCGGAUUGCGAAUUGCUGACGAUUACGGGAGUGCAUAAGCGCAGAGUAAUCGACUUUAU